GCCGUGCCCUCAGGGUCCAGUUUUCCCAGGAAUCCCUUAGGCGCUACGUUGGGGAUUCCUGGAAAUACUG
rnacentral:pre_miRNA from 1 species